rnacentral:lncRNA from 1 species
CUUGGUAAUAGUGUUUUCUAUUUGGUAAGGAAUACCUUCACUAGGUAAGUAAUCUGCAUUACCUAUUUCAGUAGCCUCAGGUUUAGAGUAUCUUGGAAAGCAACGUAGAUUGCAAAGAUCUGUGUUAUGGAUUAGAGAGGUAUAAAUCACUCUUAUCAGGUCUGCAUCUUCUGGGAUACACAGGAAGGUUACCUUUGACUGAUGAGAAUUCUCAGGUGUGUAGCAGCAAUCUCAUGUUCAAAGUAACAUUAAUUCCAAUUGCAAUUAUGAUGUGCUUAAGAGCUUACUUAGAAAUCACCAAUUGCUAAAAAUAAACAAAUGUUUACUGAGUAUUUGACUAAGUACAUAGUGC